CCUACGGGAGGCAGCAGUGGGGAAUUUUGGACAAUGGGCGAAAGCCUGAUCCAGCCAUUCCGCGUGAGUGAAGAAGGCCUUCGGGUUGUAAAGCUCUUUCGCAAGGAAAGAAAACUUAUCUCCUAAUACGGGGUGAGGAUGACGGUACCUUGAUAAGAAGCACCGGCUAACUACGUGCCAGCAGCCGCGGUAAUACGUAGGGUGCGAGCGUUAAUCGGAAUUACUGGGCGUAAAGCGUGCGCAGGCUGUUUUGUAAGUCAGAUGUGAAAUCCCUGGGCUCAACCUAGGAACUGCGUUUGAAACUACAAGGCUAGAGUGUAGCAGAGGGGGGUAGAAUUCCACGUGUAGCAGUGAAAUGCGUAGAGAUGUGGAGGAAUACCAAUGGCGAAGGCAGCCCCCUGGGUUAACACUGACGCUCAUGCACGAAAGCGUGGGGAGCAAACAGGAUUAGAUACCCUGGUAGUCCACGCCCUAAACGAUGUCUACUAGUUGUUGGGAGAGUAAAAUCUCUUAGUAACGCAGCUAACGCGUGAAGUAGACCGCCUGGGGAGUACGGUCGCAAGNUUAAAACUUAAGGAAUUGACGG
rnacentral:rRNA from 1 species